AGUCACUCCUCAGUGAUCCUGUGUGGGUCCUCGCUUGCAGCUUGCCUGCCUAAAGUACUGCGCCUGCCAGAAACCCUUCUCAACUAGUAAAUUUCAAAUUAUCCCCAGCUUUGAUGCAAAUGAAAUAAGAAUAGCCAGAUGGUCCAGAAUCCCACUGUCCCAGCUAUGACAUCCGAAGAAGCUGUUGUGGCACUGGGAAGCAUAGCUUCACGUGAAAAAUUUAUGACUUCCCCUUAGAGGGAUGGAGUGGGACAUGAACUUUGUGUCUUGAAAAUGUAACAAGGAAGCACUGAUUGGUUUGAACUUUGUUAUGUUUUGCUAUUGGCCAGAAAGGCUUUAUGAUAUGUAAAAUGGAGUAUCCCAUUGGUCAACGAGUUUCAACUGGCGGGACCUAGGAGGAGGGCCUUUUCAACUUCUGCUCUCCAUCUUGUGGAACCUCUUACCUCCAGAGGCAAGAACUCAGACUCUGAAACAGGAAGGAAUUCUUCCAUUCAUGCAAAGGCUUAAGAAGGUCACUUUAUUUCAAUUCAACCUGCUUUCCAGUUGACAUCAGUCUGUAAAACUAUACAGAAGCACAAUCUGGCUGCAAAAUGCCAGGCCAAUGUUACAGGGAGGGCAGUUACAAAGAAGGAUGAAGAUGAAAGAUAAUAUGUGGAACCUACAAAUAACAGGUUUGAGGAUGCCCAGCUUGACAAGACUCUGGGAAGCUCACAACAUUAAAAGCAAGAAAUGAUAAAACAGUAAGAAUAAAGAUUGUGUGCAUCCAGAAGAAGUAAAGUAAUUUUUAUAGGGACCCCCACCACCCAAAGGUUGGGAUGAACAGCCAAAUUUUCACUACUUUUUGAAUAUUAUCAAGGAGGAAGUCAU